ensembl:lncRNA
GGUUGAAAUAACACUCUGAAAUUGUAUAAAAUUACGAUAAUGUCCUUUUGAAAACAAUGCUUGGAAUUUCAGCCUGUUCAGGUGGGAUGGAGUUUUUGACCCACAGCAUGACAUCACAAUCUGAUCUGAUUUUUCUGACCAAUGACCAGUCAUCUUUUAUUUGCAUAUGUCUCCACCUACUUUGAAGGGGUAAGCUGGGUAGGCUCUAGUGCAGGGAUGGGCAACUCCAGUCCCACUGUUUCCCUAGCAAACACAGCUGAUUAAACUGACUGUAUUCUGAACUGAAGAACAUGAUCAUUGCAUUACUGGAGUCAGAUGUCUUAGCUGGGGCUGAAGUGUGACACCAAUCAGGCCCCCGAGGACUGGAGCUGCCCAUCCCUGCUCUAGAGUCUAGACAAUCCUAUCCACCAAUCAGAGCUGUGCAUGUAAAUAUAUUUACAUUUCUAUCAACACACCGACACGAUCAGACAGAGCAUUCCAAUGGCUGAAGGAGGCUCAGGGAAAUAAAUUAUAAAACAUUUAUUUGAAGUUAUUUUCAUGAAGUAAACACAGUGAUUUAUUAGACAUCCAGUGAUGAUUUACAAAUAAAAAAAUAAAUAGACUGCGUGGAGGCGUUAAAUGUUUGAUCUGCAAGAUAGAGGCAAUAUGGUGGAAGCUUUACCACUACCAUAGAGAAUGAUAGAGGCAAUAUAGUGGAAGAUUUACCACUACCAUAGAGAAUGAUAGAGGCAAUAUAGUGGAAGAUUUACCACUACCAUAGAGAAUGAUAGAGGCAAUAUGGUGGAAGCUUUACCACCACCAUAGAGAAUGAUAGAGGCAAUAUAGUGGAAGAUUUACCACUACCAUAGAGAAUGAUAGAGGCAAUAUAGUGGAAGAUUUACCACUACCAUAGAGAAUGAUAGAGGCCUCUAGUGGCCAAAAGGUUGUAUUAGCACGGGGCAGCACCAUUGAGAGCUUCCACCAUUUUAAUGUAGUCAACUGGCUGGGACUUCCAACUUCAUUGGCUGAUCCCUACUGGUGACCUUGUUGGGAGUCAUGUGCAGCCAAGGGUCAUCAGGAGGUAUCAGCCAAUCGUGAAGAAGAAAAUGGGACUACUUCAAAAUGGCCUCAAUGGCACUGCCCAUGAUGUCACAGACGCCAUAGUGGGACGGAUACAAUGGUACGGCCUCUUUCCAUCUCUAUGACCCCCCCCCCCACUACACACGGAUACAAUGUGAUACAGCCUCUUUCCAUCUCUAUGACCCCCCACUACAAACGGAUACAGCCCUGUCAGACGUGUUAACGUGGAGGGCACCCUGAUACGGCCUCUUUCCAUCUCUAUGACCCCCUACUACACUACACACGGAUACAGCCCUGGUCAGACGUGUUGACGUCGAGGACCCCCCCCUGGCUUCCUCCUGUGUGUAGAACUCAAUGCACUGAUUCAAUGUUUCUGCUGUGAAUAAAAC